rnacentral:rRNA from 1 species
CGGCGAACGGGUGAGUAACACGUGGGCAACCUGCCCCCGGCUUCGGGAUAACUCCAAGAAAUUGGUGCUAAUACCGGAUGUGACCGCUGACCGCAUGGUCUGGUGGUGGAAAGAUUCAUCGGCUGGGGAUGGGCCCGCGGCCUAUCAGCUUGUUGGUGGGGUAGUGGCCUACCAAGGCGACGACGGGUAGCCGGCCUGAGAGGGUGACCGGCCACACUGGGACUGAGACACGGCCCAGACUCCUACGGGAGGCAGCAGUGGGGAAUAUUGCGCAAUGGGCGGAAGCCUGACGCAGCGACGCCGCGUGAGGGAUGACGGCCUUCGGGUUGUAAACCUCUUUCAGUAGGGACGAAGCGGAAGUGACGGUACCUACAGAAGAAGCACCGGCCAACUACGUGCCAGCAGCCGCGGUAAUACGUAGGGUGCAAGCGUUGUCCGGAAUUAUUGGGCGUAAAGAGCUCGUAGGCGGUCUGUCGCGUCGGCUGUGAAAACCCGAGGCUCAACCUCGGGCCUGCAGUCGAUACGGGCAAACUGGAGUACUGCAGGGGAGACUGGAAUUCCUGGUGUAGCGGUGAAAUGCGCAGAUAUCAGGAGGAACACCGGUGGCGAAGGCGGGUCUCUGGGCAGUAACUGACGCUGAG